rnacentral:rRNA from 1 species
GGUUCUGGCAUCGAUGAAGAACGCAGCGAAAUGCGAUAAGUAAUGUGAAUUGCAGAAUUCAGUGAAUUAUCGAAUCUUUGAACGCACAUUGCGCCCGCCGGUAUUCCGGCGGGCAUGCCUGUUCGAGCGUCAUUUCAACCCUCAAGCCUCGGCUUGCU